AAAAACAAAGCUUUUAAAGCGCUUUAUUUACGAUAAAGAGUUUCUUUUGGAUGUUUUUA
rnacentral:tRNA from 1 species